UACAGAGACUGCAAGCGUUAUUCGGAUUCACUGGGCGUAAAGGGUGCGCAGGCGGCCGUGUGUGUGAGGCGUGAAAGCCCGAUGCUUAACAUAGGAAUUGCACCUCAAACUACACGGCUAGAGCAUUGGAGAGGGUAGCGGAAUUCACGGUGUAGCAGUGAAAUGCGUAGAUAUCGUGAGGAACACCAGAGGCGAAGGCGGCUACCUGGACAAUUGCUGACGCUCAGGCACGAAAGCGUGGGGAGCAAAAGGG
rnacentral:rRNA from 1 species